GUUUGAUCCUGGCUCAGGAUGAACGCUGGCGGCAUGCUUAAUACAUGUAAGUCGAACGAGGUGCUUUUGUCUUCGGAUGGAAGUAUCCUAGCGGCGAACGGGUGAGUAACGCGUUGGUGACCUGCCCCGAAGUGUGGGAUAACAGUUCGAAAGGACUGCUAAUACCGCAUGUGAUCGCUUGGAUCAGAUGCCUUGCGAUCAAAGGAGUAAUCCGCUUUGGGAGGGGCCUGCGUCCCAUCAGCUAGUUGGUAAGGUAAUGGCUUACCAAGGCGAUGACGGGUAGGGGACCUGAGAGGGUGACCCCCCACACUGGCACUGAAACACGGGCCAGACACCUACGGGUGGCAGCAGUAGGGAAUCUUGGACAAUAGGCGAAAGCCUGAUCCAGCAAUGCCGCGUGCACGAUGAAGGUCUUCGGAUUGUAAAGUGCUUUUAGAAGGGAUGAGUAAGGACAGUACCUUCUGAAUAAGCCUCGGCGAACUACGUGCCAGCAGCCGCGGUAAGACGUAGGAGGCAAGCGUUAUCCGGAUUUAUUGGGCGUAAAGCGCGUGCAGGCGGUUUGGUAAGUUGGAUGUGAAAUCUCUUGGCUUAACCGGGAGAGGUCGUUCAAAACUACCAGACUAGAGAGUGGUAGAGGAAGGUGGAAUUCCGGGUGUAGUGGUGAAAUGCGUAGAUAUCCGGAGGAACACCAGUGGCGAAAGCGGCCUUCUGGACCACUUCUGACGCUAAGAUGCGAAAGCUAGGGUAGUAAACGGGAUUAGAGACCCCGGUAAUCCUAGCCGUAAACUAUGUAGACUUGGCGUUGGCGGAGUUAAAUCUGCCAGUGCCGUAGCUAACGCGAUAAGUCCACCGCCUGAGGAUUACGAUCGCAAGGUUAAAA
rnacentral:rRNA from 1 species